GGCUCAGUGGUCUAGUGGUAUGAUUCUCGCUUCGGGUGCGAGAGGUCACGGGUUCGAUUCCCGUCUGAGCCC
rfam:Nematostella vectensis strain CH2 x CH6 NEMVEscaffold_96_Cont12233, whole genome shotgun sequence.